ACGUAGGUGGCGAGUGUUGUCAGGAAUCACUGGGCGUAAAGGGCGCGUAGGCGGUUUUACAAGUCACAUGUGAAAUACCAGGGCUUAACUUUGGGGGUGCAUGUGAAACUGUAGGACUUGAGUGCAGUAGAGGUAAGCGGAAUUCCUGGUGUAGCGGUAAAAUGCGUAGAGAUCAGGAGGAACACCGGUGGCGAAGGCGGCUUACUGGGCUGCAACUGACGCUGAGGCGCGAAAGCGUGGGGAGCAAACAG
rnacentral:rRNA from 1 species